rnacentral:lncRNA from 1 species
ACGGCUAGAACAGAGACGAGAAUGCAAUCGUCGCCGGCGGGCGGCAAACACCGCCGAUGAAGAUCGUGCACAAAACGCCAAGUUCAUGCGGGACGUCGUUCU